rnacentral:rRNA from 1 species
CGCAAUGGGCGGAAGCCUGACGCAGCGACGCCGCGUGGGGGAUGACGGCCUUCGGGUUGUAAACCUCUUCAGCAGGGACGAAGUUGACGUGUACCUGCAGAAGAAGCGCCGGCUAACUACGUGCCAGCAGCCGCGGUAAUACGUAGGGCGCAAGCGUUGUCCGGAAUUAUUGGGCGUAAAGAGCUCGUAGGUGGCUGGUCGCGUCUGCCGUGAAAGCCCGCAGCUUAACUGCGGGUCUGCGGUGGAUACGGGCCGGCUAGAGGUAGGCAGGGGCAAGUGGAAUUCCUGGUGUAGCGGUGAAAUGCGCAGAUAUCAGGAGGAACACCGGUGGCGAAGGCGGCUUGCUGGGCCUUACCUGACGCUGAGGAGCGAAAGCGUGGGGAGCGAACAGGAUUAGAUACCCUGGUAGUCCACGCCGUAAACGUUGGGCGCUAGGUGUGGGACCCUUCCACGGGUUCCGUGCCGGAGCUAACGCAUUAAGCGCCCCGCCUGGGGAGAACGGCCGCAAGGCUA